AGAAUGCCAGCCGCAGGAUCCACAGGUGCCACAGCCUCAUGGAAACACGUUGCGAGCCCUCUUGAGAAAAUGAACAGCAUAGCGUGGCCGCUCACAAACCGCUCGCUUCCCAGGAGGUAUGUCAAAGGGGUCAGUGCACCUUUGGGCUGCAAGGUUUUCCAAGGUGUGGAGGCUAUGACAUCUGAAGAGCAGAAAAUGGGAGAAACACAGAGAACAGGAAACAGAAUGAACCAAUCAGGGCAUCUUCUCCAGCUGACCCAUAGGAGACUGUAAAAAUGUCACUCAACCAGGGCUCUGUUCCAAGCUAGCGCAGGUCCUGGAGCAACAAGAAUCCUGUUACAUCUCUCCUCCGUCACAUACAAU